UAAGAGGUACGCUUCCAACUUGGGAAGCUUUAAGAGCUUGCACGCAAGAACGGGCCGAUUGUCUCGAACGCUCUGGAUGACGUACAGCUUGCGAAGGCAUUUGAUUCCCGCUUCGCAGUGUGAUGCCAUCACUACUUAUUUCUGCAGCCGUGACUUUUUUCACCGCCCUCGUUUUGGCUGACCCCAUUGACAAGUCGGCAAAGAGUCUGAAAGAAAUGGAAAGCCUUUGUUCACCGGUUCUGUUGACAAACUCUGCACCGUGAAAAACCUGGUUGAUGUUCGAGCUUUGAAGAAAACGCAUGUAUUUGUGACCAAGGCUCAAGGCACUAAAUUACCAACGCCUCCAGCAGCAAAAAAGAAAGGCGCAAUGACCUUGAUUUACUUAUGUGGGUCUUAAGUUAUGUAUUCCUGCUGUAUACACUGGUCAAAGAUGAACUGUUUGAAGCUAACAGAAUGGCGCCUUUGAUUUGCGGUUUUUUUUUUUUUAGUGUGUUGCUAUCUUGCAGUGCGCUGAAAAACUGAAGCGUGGUCAAAUGGUAUAAAUAAAGACAGAUUGUG